UGCUAGUGUCUGUGGGUUAGGGUGUGAGGGGUGAGAGAGGCUGUACCAAGCUCUCUACAGUAUCAGCUUCAGGCGCAGUCUGUCAGGAAGGGUUUCACUGUCCUACUGUAUGUAAAUGGACAAACAAAGCAGUAGGAAUCAGGCAGGGAUGAACGGAGAAUCUCUGGCCUUCACCUGGACUCCUGAACCUUCCCAGCUCAAGCCUUUGUCCCAGAGGCUCAGCAGAACCCUGACACUUCACAGUGCUGCGGCCCUUCUCUUGGUAUCGGUAUCAUGAAAGAUUCAAAUGGCAUUGUCCACCUCCAAAGCUUUUGUAGAAUGAAUCAGUUUUCCAAUGUGUCUGCCUUGACACACAUUCCCUGACCACUUGGAGGUCACAAAUUUAAUUAAACCUCUGUGAAUAGUAGCAGACCUCACAGAAAUAAAGGCCUUAAUCCAAUCAAGCCACAUUUGUACUCCCUGUAUUGCAUCAAGCACGGUCAAAGCAGAAGGGACAGAGCGUGGUGAGCUAGCAGGGCCCCAAGAAGUUCCCCCAUACACAGCCAGUUACGGGUGAUAAUGUGAUUGUGACACUCGCAGACAAUGUGAGCAAUUUCUCAAACUGGAAGUCCAAGACUUCGUAUUGCCGUGCCCAGCUAGUACAAGAAACAUGGGAAAGAUCACAGCUAGUUCUUGGAGUAAAAUGGCUAAGGUUUUCAGGAGAGCUAUCAUUUCUCAGGUGGAGACAAACUUUAGCAGCGGCUGGUACAAAUCUCUCACCAAAGUCACAGGUUUGCUUUGUAGUCAUCAGUUUUGAGGGAACCUUGCCACCUCUUCCUUUCUUUUUCUGUAUAAAAAAAAAGAAAGAAGAAAAAAAGAAAAAAAAAAAAAAAAAAAAAGGAAGGCAGAAGCAGCCUGGUGCCCUAGGAAGUGCUUUUAAUCAACCUGUGCAAUACCAAUUAAUUUUGCAUAACACGCCUCAUUCCACCCCGGAGGAGGCAAUGCUUGAUGUGUGGGCCAGGUGAUUCUCUGGCAAUCGGAGGAUCUGGCUAAGUUUUUUUCUGAAGCUGCUUGGAAAGUUUACUUAAGGUUCUGGGAGGAGGAAAUGUAAUGAUGUCUUCACAAAGCUGGGCAUCUUCAGCCUACGCGUGGAUCGAUGCUUGUGGAGUCUUGAAAUUUCAGCAAGGAAUGGGCAUUUUCUUUGUGAAAGGACCCACAGCAUUCACUCCAAGUAUAGAAUUCCUACCAACUCAGUACAGUAAAUAUUUCACCGGCCAGAUUAAAGACGAUGCAGUCUGUAAGUAAAAUUGUAAAGUGCUCUGGGGCAUUUUCUGAGUGAGAGGCGUGUUACUAAUUGCCAGAAUAUUAGUAAAUUAGGCCUGAACUUAAGUAUUUGUAAAAAGCAAAGCUCUCUAACGAGAGCAAGACAGGCACACAGACGUGGGAGAUGGCUGCUGAUGGCAGGUUCUGGUUAGGAGAAAAGGUGCCAAAGUGUGUAGCAAGGUGAUGUUAAAGGAGCUUAAUGUGUGAGACCUCAAGGGAAGGUGGGCACGGACUUCUAUGUGCUGCAGAAAAGACUCCAUCAAUCCUGUUUAGAAACAGGACCAGAAAAUGGAGUGGGAAUUGUUAUUACUGCUGUGUUACUGAGGCUGCGAUAGCAAAUAGCAAGCAUGCUGAUGUGCAUGCUGUAAGGGGAGUAAAAGCACUGGUGCCAAAAUGCUCGUCAUGAAAAAGCAGUAGGGACACUGGAGGGCAAGCACAACUUCUGCUUUGUGUAUUUGUGGGUAAAACUGCAGUUCUGCUCCACCUUUCCUUGUGCUGCUGGAGGAGGGGGAGCACACGACGAUUCCUUUCAUUGGAAUCAACUCGGCUUGAAGAACGGGGCUUUAAAAAAGGAGAGAGUGGGCGAGGGAGCGAGCCGCGGUGUUUCACAAACCGUUUUGCUGCGUGUUGAGCAGCCAGCGAUGGGCUGCAGCGUGUGAGAGGCAGCUCCCUCCAGAUCCUAAUCCAGGGGUCUGCCAGAGAGGAGGAUCCUGCCUCGGCCAGAUCGAGCACACGGCGAAAAGCGCUUCCUACUCAUCUGGUGCACGUGACGGUGCUUCGCUGUCUAUAUCUGUCCCCAUGACGUGAGCAGCACACUCCCCUGCAAACCACCUGCAGAUCACUCUGGAGCCGAAAAGCCCAGUCGUAGAGACUGCAAAGAAAAAUGAAAAGCCCCACAUUCGAAACUCAGGAACAGACGAUGUACGGAAAAUUACUUACAUUGAGCUGUGGGAAUAAUCAAACAAAAGAGCAUAAACUUCAAAGGCAGUACUUCAUAUCCUUAAAAUUGAGGAGGCCGAGGAGAGGAAGAAGUGAGCGCGAGCCAUUAAUUCUGCUCUGUGAUUGCCCAUGCGUGCACAUGACGUGGGUUCCCCAGCUUCCUGCAGCCCAACAUCUGUAACCGCAGCCCGGAUGCUCCCCCCGCCCCCCCCCCCCCCAUGUAAUCUGUGCCCCAUGAAGUCUGCUCGUCCCCUUCUGUAAGCCCUCAUCAUCUCGUGGGCCGACAGCACUUCUUUGAACCGGGGCGAGAGGGAAAGUAAUACAUAAACUUUAAAGGCACUCAUCUACCGCGUGCAAUUUGUGUUUUACACCUCGUGAAUUUUAACUGCUGCGGUUGUAAGUUGCCAUUAACCCCCUGUGCGUUGGCACUCCUGCCCUGACCCUCGGAGGGCGGCAGCAGCAGGGGGCUGCAGCGCGGCUCUCCUCGCAUCCCACAGCACCGGAGCAGGAUUUUCUCCCAUUUCCUAAAAGAGCUCGGUCGCUUGUGAAAGCUCUUCCCUUCACGUGCAUUCGGGCUGAGUAUUAGAACAGCAAAUGCCCUCCAGAUACUGCUAAAUGGCUGCUUAAAAAUGAAACAGCAAACAUAAAAGCACAGAUGACUGCAGCGCAGAGUUAAAAAUCAAAGCACUACUGGCAAGCCUUGCACACCGGACGGCUGCACAGCUGAUCUGCAGCCAUUAUUUAUGCUGCCGUUAAAAAUCGUUAUUGGGGCUCUAAAAAAGCCUCCUCCAAACACGCGGUGAAAUCAGAGGGAUGCUGGCUGCUAUGGCAUGCAGCCUCACACGGGGUGAGCCCUGGGACCUCUGCUCUGUGGUGGCAUUUCAUUACGGGCACUGAGACUAUUAAACCAAUUUCCGAGCGCUCGGGUGUGAGAUGUUUGUGGGAUUUCCCCAGCUGAACAAAUCAGCUUAGAAGUCUGCAAUUCAUUAAGCAAGUUAUCAGGAGAAAGCCGCGUAUGCUCUCCUUUUGCUGUGCCUGCAGUCCCUAACUUCCAGCUCCCUCAGGACAGCGGGUUGCUUCUACCAGUGUGACGCUUGCAGGAGCUGGGUUCAAAGCUUAUUUUCAUCCCUUAUUGAACUGGGUAUUUGGGGGCAGCACCCAGGCAGGCCGAGGGGCAAUGGAAGCAUACCACUUUCCUCCAGGCCUGCUACACCGGCUGCAACCAAAGGGAUCACAACUUCAGCGGCUUUUGAAAUCAGCACGGUCAGUUCAGAGGGCUGUGUGAGGACUGUGGCAUCGUUUUAGGAUGUAUUCUCCCUUCCUCCCUCCCUCCCUUCCUUCCUUCCUCCCUCUCUUCCUUCCUUCCUUCCCUUCUCCCUCCCUCCCUUCCUUCCUUUCCUCCUUACUUUCCUCCUCCCUCCAUCCAGAGGCAGGGGAUGAGCCAGGCCUGCGGGUGCUGGGCUGUGCUUAGUGCUUGGUACACAGUGAGGCCUUUCCUUGCAGGGCAGCCUUCACAUUUGCAAUUUGAAUUUAAUCCCCUGGGCUAAAGAGAGCUCCGCUUGCCUAUUGUUCCUCCAGCUGGCAACAGCUUUAUUUCUUUGAUGCUUUCAAUCCUCGGUCGUUUCCAAGGCGCUGGCAGAGAUGCUUUUAACACAGAGUCUACCCGGGACCGUGACAAGCUGGUCACAGCAUCCCACCCUCUGGGUACUCAGCUCCCCCAGGGCUGUGGGGCUCCCUCCUGCUCGGCUGAGUGUGCCUCUGACAGCGACCUCUGGUCCCCGGGCUGCUCCUCAUGGCUCCCCCAGCUGCAGGACCUUCCUCAGGAGCAGCCCUGAUGCGAACGGCUCGCUCCGCUAAUUGCUAAUUAGUCUUACCACUCUUUCUCUGCAAGAAGUAAGUGGUGCGAUGCUUUCCUAUGGUCUUUGCUGUCUGGCUUCACCUGGGUGCCUCUCUAACCCACCCUUCUCACAUGCCUAAUCGACAAGACUGUGUUCAUCAUUUAUUUCGGGAGAUGUCUAUGUAGUGCCAGCCAAGGAACUGCGUAUUCUGCAAGGUCACUGAAUGCAUGCUUGACUCUGAAGUAGUUUGGACAAUGAUUUGAAGCGGAUUAAUGUCAGUAAGCUCUUAUCUGUGAUAAUGCUUAGCUUUGUAUUUCGUACGUGUACAUCGCGCAGUUCCAUCGCAUGCAUCAGACAUAUUGUGCUGUGUUUGUGAUUUGCUAUCUUUCAAUCUCGGGGGGGGGGGGGGGGGGGGGGAAAUAGGUGAACUAGGUACUUUUCCAGAAAUUGAAUUUGGGAUUGUUCCCUGCUAAUUCAUGUUGUUAAUUAGCUACAGCAGGUAGCCAAUAAAGCAGCAUAAAUGAUUGCAGGUUCCUUAGGAAAUGUGCCAAUACGAACGCAAAUACUGAUUCAGAUGUGGAAUUUUCACAGUGCCUCCCGGUGAAACUCAUUCAUUAAGAAGCAAAAGCUAGGAGACAUAAACGUGAGAUGCUUGCAGCCUGCUGAUGGACGUUUUGCAGUAGGGAGAAUGCUGGAUCACUAAUCAUUCCCUUGGCAUAUCAGCAAUGCACAUGCCACCCAACGGGAAGGGUGGGCAGAUUUCUGCCUGGCUGAGUGCAGCGGUGCUGCUCGCAGCCCCUGAGCCCCAGCAGUGAUUUCGCGACCCGCGGGAAGCGCUGCUAGCUCGUACCUCUGGCCUGCCACUGAAUGGAUUGCCAGCAUGAGGCAUGGAGCCUCUGGGAGCUGUGCGGGAGGUGAAUGCGAAAGCAAGCACAGAAGAAAGUCAGGCUCCUGCAGACUUCAACAGGCACGCUUCCCUUCCCACAGAAGAAAAAGCUGUUACUACGUAGAGGCAACGUUAGAAAAAUCACACAGAGCACAAAGGGAAGUCUACCUCUGGGUUUUUAGGUAAGCUGAGGGGAAUCCCUGCAGCCUUUUCCCCUCCUUUACUUUUUCUUUUCUAAUACUAGUGCCGCAGAGGACUGCGUCUGUGUGCAUGAAAUCAGUGCUGCUCUUUAAAUACUUUUCUCCCCCCAACGCCGCUCCAGUUCCUGGUUCAGUUUUGAAUGGAGAUCUUAAGCGAAAGCAGCAAAACACCAACUGGCUGGAAAAUUGGCCAUGAAGGAGCGCAGUUAUUACGAACCAGAUGCUUCAGCCGAGAGGAAGCAGGAUACGGGAGGCCUUCCAAAAGUGGGUUACCAAGGGGCCUUAGAGACGGACAAGCACCAAAAGCAUCAGUUAUCCACUUGAGCAUUCGCAUGUGUUUGCUUAGGGCUUUGAGUGGCCUGCAACCACAAGACUGGGAUUUGGGUUCCUCUGUGCAGCCUCUGAGAUUUCCACACAUUGCUGAGCUGCUUUUCUCCAGGUCUUGGGAGUGUCAAGACUAGAGAAGCAAGUUGUCACUGGGUGAUCAUUCAUACCAGACACAUCCCCCAGUGUGCUCGAGGGUUUCAUAUGCCUAUGCUGCGUCUGUGGGUAACCGUGGAACUUCACAUACAAGCAGAACCACCUGGCUCCUUUCAAAAGACAAAUAGCACAUCAAAGCAGAUUUUUAUCAUCAUUGUUACACUCUCCGGCCCCCCUGCGAGAGGAUUUUCAUGCUGUCAUUUCAGGGAUGAAAUAAAUUUUUUUGGGAAAGCAAAA